rnacentral:rRNA from 1 species
UUCAGCAGUGGAUGUCUAGGCUCGCACAUCGAUGAAGAACGCUGCGAACUGCGAUACGUAAUGCGAAUUGCAGAAUUCAGUGAGUCAUCGAAAUUUUGAACGCAUAUUGCGCUUCCGGGUUAUGCCUGGAAGCAUGCCUGUAUCAGUGUCCGUAAAACA